GAAUUGGCCCAAAUAUAUUGAGUGCAUGUUUUAUUGUACAUCUUUUUUAUAAAUAAAAAAUAACAACUAUGGACAUUAAAUAUAAAACGUAAAUGUCAGGAAAAGAGUGAUAAAUUGAAUAAUCCAAGGUUUACAUGGACAGAUGCAAUAAACACAGUGGUAGUUGUUGUGGAUCACCAACUAAUACAAACAUCUUGGACGAAUGAAGAGCUGCAAUAAUUGAUGACUGUACCACUUGGGUAGCUUCAUCUACAAUGCAUACGUCAAAUUUACGUUUUUUAAGUAAUGCGUGUCCACAUCCAAGGCAUGUCACACCAACAAUAUUCUAUUAUAACAUUUUUUAUUCUUAUUAAAAAUUAAACACAAAAAGGGGUGUCACAACGUUGAGAGACCACUUCAUCACAUUUUCCCCACAAGUCUGGAUGAAUACGUGUCUUUGAACCCAAUCUCAAAAAAUCAAUUUUAUUUUUAUGUAAUAACAACAAUAAGUUAUCAACAGCUGAAUGAGUGUGAGAAGUAAUCAACACUGACCGACCCAUCAGUACAAGUAGCUGAAUAAGAGCAACCACA